AGGGACAGGACACUAAUUCUAUCCCACUUCAACCUUGAAUUGAGGGGGGUGGGGGGAAGGCGGCUGAGUUCCUUCCCCCACCCUCCAGCCCUGAGCCCUGAGAGGGAGAUUGAGCCUGAGAGAGAGGAGGAGAAGGAGUUUCUUCUUCUUCGAAAACCCCAUCCACGACUCCUACCCCCUCACCCCUCCAACUCGCCUCCCUCCCGAGCCCCCUCCACCCUCCUCCUCUUUGGCCGUGAGAGGAGGAGAGAAAGAAACCAAAAGCCUCUUAGCAACACAGACCCUUUGCUGCUGCUGCUGCUGCUGCUGCUGCUGCUGCUGCUGCUACUGCUGCUGCUGCUACUGCUGCUGCUUGGCCCUGGCUGGAGACAUCUCACUACACCCAGGAGCAGCCACUUCCCCAGCUCUCCUCCUCCUCCUUCGCCUCCUCCUCCUCCACUCCCCCCCUUUAUUACCCUUUGUGUCAUCCUCCACAGCUCCAGGGAAGGCACUCAAAAGUGGGGGGCAGGAAAGAGAAAUAUUAAACUUUUUACAAGGAUUAAAGAUACCUUGAACUAGCUGAGAAAGAAGAUAGCAACUUGGAGCCAAGCAAUACCAGCCAUGGUAAGGAGUUACAUCCCAUCACUCUUAUCACCCUGACUGUAAUAAGGAAUGAGAGUACAGUAGAUAGGAAAGAGAGGUAAGAGGAGCAUAUUGUAAGUCCUGGUCUGCUUUUUUUCAAAUGGACCCUGUGUUGUUGCAGAACCCAUGGUGCCACCCACUCAGACGACUUCCUGGAUGGCUCUGUGCGUGCUUAAGAACUGGUCUACAUUUUUUUGGUCCUUCCCCAUUCUUAUUCCACAUAGUAGGUACUGCACUGUAACUUGUGCUUUUGUGGGAGAAAUUCCAGGUAUCUUAGAACACAGAACCAUAUAAAAGAGCAGUAACUGCUCAUUUUGAGAGUGAUUGCAUUUAUU
rnacentral:lncRNA from 1 species